CCUACGGGGUGCAGCAGUGGGGAAUAUUGGGCAAUGGGCGCAAGCCUGACCCAGCAACGCCGCGUGAAGGAAGAAGGCUUUCGGGUUGUAAACUUCUUUUCUCAGGGACGAAGCAAGUGCCGGUACCUGAGGAAUAAGCCACGGCUAACUACUGGCCAGCAGCCGCGGUGAUUCGUAGGUGGCAAGCGUUAUCCGGAUUUACUGGGUGUAAAGGGCGUGUAGGCGGGGACGCAAGUCAGAUGUGAAAACCAUGGGCUCAAACUGCGGCCUGCAUUUGAAACUGUGUUUCUUGAGUACUGGAGAGGCAGACGGAAUUCCUAGUGUAGCGGUGAAAUGCGUAGAGAUUAGGAGGAACACCAGUGGCGAAGGCGGGCUGCCGGACAGAAACUGACGCUGAGGCGCGAAAGCGUGGGGAGCAAACAGGAUUAGAUACCCCAGUAGUC
rnacentral:rRNA from 1 species